UGCCACCUUACCUCGUCAAUCAUACUACAAAAUGGUUUUAAUUAAUUGACUCAAGAGUCAAAUUUUUGGAAAAUUCAAAUCAGAAAAUUUGAAAUGAUUAGAACUAAAGUUUAUUGGUGAAGUGAUAAUUCUCUCUGUAUUUAGAAAGACUAAAACCCUACUUAAAAGUUUUCAAAAAAAACAAAAACAAAAACCCUACGUUAAAAAAUCUUCAUGUAGCUCAUUCGUAUAAAAAAUCUUGGUCCCGUCCUUAUUUAGACAGGAUUGACUCGGAAUUGAAAACAAAUUUAGUAGUCUUAUUCUUAUACAAAUGUGACAAAAGUAUGUGCAAAACGCACUAGGUUUAGAACGAUGUGGAUUCUCUUAUUGUUCCUAAACUAUAUUAUUGUUUAUAUUAAGGUCCUAAAUUAUAUUAUUGUUUACUUUAAGGUCCUAAAGUAUAAUAUUAUUAUCAUGACACGUGGCAAAGCAUGCCUGCAAUGCGAUGUUACUGUUGGUAGGUUUUAUAGUUACUCUGUACGAAUAAUAUUUGAUUUUAAAGAGAAGAGAUCCAUCUCUUCCACCAAGAUUACCAGAUCAAGUGAUCCAAAUCUUUGAAAUUUUAUCCAACGGUUAAAAAUUAUUAUAACUUUUAAAAUGUCAAAACAUAUAGGAUGUUUGAUGAAAUUUUAAUGGUCCGAAUCACUUGAUCAAAUCUCCUUGAUGAAAGAGAUCCGGACGUUUUUAAAAGCUGCAUGCAUGUGUUUGGAUUGUCGACGUCGUGUCUCAUAGCAAAAAGUUGAAUACGUGUCCUUGAAUUUACAUUUUUUUUUCUUCACAGGAUUACUUUAAUGAACAUUCUGUUUAAUUUAUUGUGACAAAGAUUAGCGUUGGUGGCCUAAAUCUCUCUCCUCUGUCUUUAAGCAAGCAAUUGCCUUUGAUAGACAUGGAAUACGCAUCGUUUACUACACCUGUUUUUGUGGCGUUUAUGGCGCCAUGGAAUUGGAAAAAGUUGGUAGCUAUGCUCCCACCCGCCAGGUGUAAAGAAUUCCACUCCACACUUUUGGUGUAAGAGUGAGGACAUUUCAUAGUUUCAUACACCGAUAUCUUAAAUCAAUCUUGUACCAUCGCACUAACACGUGAAAAAGUAAAAAUUUAUGUAGAUUUGAAAUAAAGAUAAUCGUAUAUUUUAUAUGUGUAAGUUUGUCUCAUAAAACACUGAUCGUAACAAUAAGUUAAUUGUUCGUACAUGUGAUACUGACUUUGUCAAAAUGUUUUGGAGGUUUCUUUGGUGGCUCCGGUGACAAUACCGGGUCAUCUUUGUCCUUGUGUACUGCCCACUUAAAUUUUUCCAACCAUUUACGCAAGAUAGUUGGUGGGUGAGUUUUUGAUAAGGCUGUAGUAGCUUUCACCAUAUAAUUGUAUGGUCGAAAUUAAGGUUGUUAGGUUUUAAGAAACCCAUCUUGUAUGGGAUGUAUAAUCUAUUUUGAAAUACGGUUAUUUGGUCUAGUAAUACUCGGUCACAAUACAUUGUUCCGUCAAUAUUUUGUCAUUGUUGACUAUAGAAUAUGAAUGUGACCCGUUUGGUUUA